CAGCCUCUUGCUGGCCUCGGAGGAAGGAUCUAAGCGGGGCGUUCUCAGAGAGCCGCGCAGGUGUUCACCACACACUGGAGAGGGGGCCGAGAGAAGACUCACCUGUGACCCAUGCCAGACUAUCUUCUGAGCCGAUCAUGGAGAACUACGGGCAGAUGGUGCCCCCUAGUGGACAAACUCCCUCUCCACAAGCACUGAGGAAAGGACACUUGCCAGCGGCCCAGCCUCGCAGCCACCCAGACCACCAUCGGGACUGAGGUUCCUUUGAGAUGUCUUCUCGUUCACUCCCACCUUGCACCCCAGUUACCUGCUCGUCUGGUCCACACCCUCUGGGAUAGAGAUGUUCCGAGCUCGCGGCAGAGUGGAGCAGCAGCCUCUCGGCCUACCGUCUCUGCAGGGCACCCAGGACCGGGGCCUCUCUCCAGGCCCUGCACCGGCCUGCUGGUUCUGGUCCAUUUGCCUGGGACCCUAGGCUCCUUGUGUGGCCCUCACUCCUUGUAUGACCUUGCUCAGUUUGCAAACCCAGUUCUGAGCCAUGGUUUUUUAGUCAACGUUUGGCGAGCCCUCUGCUGUGGCUCCAGACCCUGGUCCUUCCCAGGUCAGGCCCUCUCUGGAGGAUUUUACUUCAAAAGAGAUCAACUUGAGAUUGGGGUGUGAGUUGUUUAGGUGGUGGUGAGUGCUGCAUAUGGGGAUCUAAUUGGAAAAGCGGGUGUUCAUUCUAGAAGUGUGGAUGAAGGGGCUACCUAUUGAGAUACGCAUUCUUCCUCCUUUCUGAGCUCCCAGAAUUUCCCCAGAUUUCUUUCCAGCACUCCUCUGGUAUUAAAAUGCAUUGGCUAGUUAUGUAGGCAUAUUGUGAAGAAUCGUGCCGUUCGAUCCUCACAGCAAGCUCUGAGCUGGGCGGAGUUACUGUCUGUACUUUAUAGGCACAGAAACCAAGUUUCUCCCAAAGCUCCCAAGUGGCAGAGUGGUCUGCAACGGAGCCCUUCGGAGCCUGUGGUCAAAUCGCCGUGCUACUCAGGCGGAGUGUUCACCAAAAGGGCGGUGGGAAAGCAGCAGGAAGAGUCUACAGAGGGGCACAGUCGGUUGGCUGUGCGACUCCUGAUUUCGGCCCAGGUCAUGAUCUCACGGUUUGCAAGAUGGAGUCCCGGGUCCGGCUCUGCGUUGGCAGCUUGGAGCCUGCUUGGGAUUCUCUCUCUGCCUCCCUCUCUCUUUCUCUUCCUCUCUCUACCCCUUUCCUGCUCCCCCUGGUGCACAGCCUUUUCUCACACAUUCUCUCUCAAAAAUAAAUAAACUGGGGGAAAAAAAGAGCCCGUUUAUAGAAAAGAGGCGACAAGGGAGGAUCUGGGAGGAGAGGAAGCAGGCUUACGGGGGCUGUCGGGGCGGGGGAGGAGGUUGGGUCUGUGGUUGCCAAUCCGGGAUGGUUUUUAUUCAUUUGUCCAAGGAGGGCGUCUCACUGUGUCUUUGCUGCAGGUGCAGUACAGGGUUCUGCCCUGGGUCACGUUGGCCACGUGCAGCCCCAGCUCCGUGUUAUCGACCCGUGUCACCUGGUAAUCUGCUCCAGGAUGGGAUACGACCUCCUUAUCCCCGGUAUUCCGCAGGGUGGCCAGCAGCUGUAGUUGUCCCUGGAGAUCCUGUUGGUACCAGCUCAUCCAGGGGUACUGGGAAUCCCUCAGGAUGCACUGCAGGGUUUUAGCUUGUCCACGAGGUACCAGGACCCACCUGGGCCUUUGCUCCACCAAGCUUGCUGAAGCAUCUGAAAUACACAGUCAGGCCAGGCUAAAGGUACUGAGGGUAGCGAUACCCGCCUCCCCUCCCCCAAAUCAGCUGCCACAAAAUCUCAGAGGGGGGCCCAUGAGCAAUGGCAAUUGGAGACGGAAGGGAUGCUUCCUCGGGGGUCGGAGGUGGGAGGGUGCUAUGGCUGGGAGAAUCUUAGAAAGCCUGGGAUGAGGGAACAAAACUUUCUGUGCCUACUGGUCCCUCUUUCCCUCCCUCAGCCCAUGGAGUGGCUUUCUCGGCCUGGCAUCUGACCUGUUGUCACGGUGGCCAUGAGCACCCAGCCCCACAGAAUGGGAAAUGGUACCAUUGCCUGGGCCCCACGGGCUUUCUCCAGCUCGGCAGCGGGACGGGCCCAGUCAGGCAGGAGAGCAGGGUCCCGGUCCAUAAGGUGGCAAUCAGUAGCUGACACUCUGGGCCUGAAACUCAAAAGGGAGUGGCUUCUCCAGGAAACUCAAUAUUCUGUCUCAUUUUCUCACUGCGGUUCAGACCCCACGGUUUCCUGUUUCCUGCACGCCAACAGCCCUCACAUGGGCGCGCACACGCUCCCCACAUUCACUGAGUGCCUUGGUGAGGGCACUUAGUUUAGUCCUGCACCCUCUCAGAAUCUCUGGGAUUCUGGGACACAGACGACAGUGGUUCUGAAUCUGUGCCUCAGGUCUUCCCAAGGGAUUAAAACAUCUCAAUGCAACCAAGCAGGCUGGUGGAUUCAGCGAAGACCUCUCUCCCCCACGUGCAAGAGGCCACACGGGUCAGUACACAGUGGCCGCUCGUUUCUAAUCACACGUGUUCUCCUCUGUAAGGGUAACUACAAAUUAAACAUAAGAGGCUUCAUUUUCCCUGUUGAAAAUAAGGAAAGACACUUAACUCCUGUCCAUUCCCCCAGAGCAUUUACUUUAGAAAACUUGUAAUUUUAAGUUCUUUCUCUGUUUCUUUGAAAUGUGUGUAAAUCACCCAGGAAUGUUUUUCGCAAGGUCCCGCCAUCCUCUCUUUGAAACACAAGCAUCAGGAUGAGCCUAACUAAAUUUAGAGGAGAUGCCUCCCGUCAAGCUGCAAAACGAUUCCCUGGCCUAAAGAUAUGGCAAGUUACUUUGCCUUUGGGUAAAGCAAAUCAGCAAACCCAGAUGGACACCCCCAGUCACCAAGUGACUGUAAGAUGAAUUGUGGGUUAACAAAAGUCCUGUCCCGGCCUCUUAUUUGAGGUCUGGCUAUAGUUUAUCUCGAGAACAUUUAUGUAAAGGGUUGUAUCCGAUUGCCUAUAUAAAAGGCCGGGAUUUCUGUCUGUCUUUGCAACCCCUUAACAAAAUGCCUGGGAUGUGUAUCACAUCGGUUUAAUGCUUAUUCAGUAAUAAGACUGCUUUCUUUCUCUCCUACUUUUGGGGAGAGGUUUUUCUGAAUCGGGAGGAGCUUUGAUUUUCAGUGACAUCUCCCUGACAACUCACAGCCCCGGCCCUACCUAGCAGGUGGCCUUGGGAGUGUUUCUCCCUCUGUAAGAUGGAGAUAAUUAUGAAGGUGACUUUAUAGGAGUAAAUAGAUUAAUACAUGAAAAAUUCUUGGAAUAGAGUUUGGCACAGACUGAGCACUUAGAGUUGACUCCUGUCACCGCCAUGGUCAACUACCAAUUCAAUUCCAAUUUCACAGAAUUAAUAGCAGCGUUUACGUCUCCUUCUCUCUCAGUCAUCAGCUGAGAUUAAGAUCACAAGAUCUUGUAACUUUUCAACAGUGGGAAGAGGCCUUGUUUUUUCAGAAAGUUUGGAAAUCAGCGAUCUGGGAAAUCAGAUGUAAAGGCCCAUAGCUACCUUCUCUUCCCCCUCAGAAUUUUAUGGACAAAAGUAAGGGGACACGUAGGGAUCUAGCAACUGAACUUUACAAUUUCAAGACCUGGGACUGCACCAUAUUCACGUCGGUGUUCCCAGUGAGGUGUCUGCGCUGUCACAGACACUUGAUGAAUGAAGAAGACAGCUGGAGCACGGUAGGACCGCAGACCCACCACCCGGGAGACUGCACGUCAGGGAACAGCUGUGGCCUGGUGUCCUGGGGCUUUGCGCCUCCCAGAUUCACUAAUUUUGCUAAUGUGCUCAGGUGUAAAUACUUACAACAAUAUGGUUCCCAUGAUUCUGGCAAAGGAUAACGGUUACUGAUGCCAUGUGGUGACAGCAUAAUACAGUUUAUAAUUCAGUUGGCGCGAUGACUUCAAAAUUGUGUGGUUGUUCAUUUAAAAAAAAACCCACAUUUUCAUUAUGUACAAUUUUGUGUAUAAAACAAGUUCAUUAAUAUUUUCUAUAUCUGACUAUUUCAAAUUUGCAUCAUCUAAUCGUAAAGAAAAUAUCAAUCGCCCUGCAUUCUCAGUAACAUGUGCUGGUCUCCUUUUGCCUUUCGCUGUCCUGCCUGUUCCCAACCUCAUCUCUCCAGGGACGGAGAGGGAUGAAGCUCUGGGAAGAAUGCCCAAAUCGCACAUCUUGAAUACCAGAAAUAUGUACGUGCCAGGACAGAGACGUCCUCACUUAGCAAGC